rnacentral:lncRNA from 1 species
UGAUGGCGAUUGGAUCAAGAGUUGAUCAAGGGUCGAAUCAAGGAGGCUUGGAACCAAUUCAAGAGUUGAAGACCAGUUGAUCGAUUGACGUGCAUGUGCUUGUAAUAUGACCUAAUUAGAAUCCAUGAUCAUCACUUAUUUAAAGUUUAGCUUUACUUAAUGUUGCGAUUAUAAUUGCCUGCAAUGUGCCGUUUGCAUGUGAUGUGAAUGAGAAUCGGGUAGAUAGGUUUACAUGUGAUGUAGCAAACCCAA